AAGUUGGGCAGGGGCAGAGAGAGAAGGAGACACAGAAUCCAAAGCAGGCUCCGGGCUCCGAGCUGUCAGCACAGAGCCUGUCGUGGGGCUUGAGCUCACGAACCGUGAGAUCAUGACCUGAGCCGAGGUUGGACGCUUAACCAACGGAGCCACCCAGGCGCCCCUAUUCAUUUGUUUUAUUGCAGCAUUAUCUACAACAGCCAACAUAUGGAAACGACCUAAGUGUGCACAGACAGACGAAUGGACAAGGAACAUAUGCUACACACACACACACACACACACACACCCACACACAUAUACGCGUGCACACACUGGAAUAUUACUCAGCCAUAGAAAGAAUGAGGCCCGCCAUCUGUGACGGCAGGGAUGGUCCUGGAGCAUAUUAUGCUCGGCGAAAUAAGCCAGAUCAAGGAUUCUCACCUAGAAAGUUACCUGCCUCCGGGGUGUAGACUGGGGGCACUUACAUGACACUGAGUGAUAUUCACUGGAGGGAGUUUAAAGGGUCAAAUAAAGGGGCCACGAAUCACUUGCUGUUGUCACACGUGCACUGGACACCCUUGGGUGAACAGGCGGCCUACUGAGCAGGAACUGUGCUCGUAAGUAACAAAGCCAAUAAGCACCCCGACUGGUUUCUUCCGGAGUCUCCACGGGCACCCAGCCUGAUGACCACCGAGGGCGUUCGUGUGGCCUGCACAUGCCUACGUGGAUUGUGCCUUCACGGGACACUGAUGGGUCUUCAGAUUUUUCUUAUUAAGUUUGGAGACGGACCAAGAACCACCUUUGCCGCAAGGCUGGGUUGAGGCCCCAGGGAAGAAGACGAAGUGAGGACGCCCCCGGUCUCUUCUCCCUCUUUGUGUCUGUCCUCCAGGCUGCGUGCGCUUGCUCUGUGUGGUUACUGAUUUCCGACACUUUGUCAGGUAACGUCUCCGGGUUGUGGACUUUUGCAAGUACCGUCCGGAGAUCUGACUCAAACCCGCGGGCCCGUGCCGGGACCUGGCCGUGUCCGGCCGCCGAGCUCUCCGCGGGGAGUCUGCUGCCCAGUUAUUUUUGAUGUCGCCGUUCCCUCCUCCCAGAAUUGUGACUGGGUCUGUCCGUUCUCCGAGGAGCCUCCGCUCCUCCACCAAAGGCUCUUGACGGCUCCCUCCCGUCAGCAGGAAGGCACCGGCAGCGCCACUCAGGGCUGUCAGUGGUCGACCAGCACUCCGGUCCUCGGGGCGGUUCUCGGGUCCACAUCUCCACCUUCGCCUGGACGAUGUCCGACCGUGCCCCAGGCUCCAGGAAAGUCUCACCUCCUCCUUCUCGUGUCUCUGAGCCCCGCGACCCCUCACCAUGUCCCUCCACGGACGGUGAGCUCCGUGAGUACGGGUGUCUGUCACCUUUGCUGCCCCGGGGCCGGUGCCCGGCUCCCAAGGGGGCGUUCGGUGAUGGUGCGAGAUCGAACAAAUGGGUAAGUGAGGGGAGAUGGCCCACGUGCAGCCUUCUCCCUGGGCCGUUUUCUCCUCUCCUUGUCCGGCACUCAUCCCCCUGACGUGACCGCUCCCUCCCGUGAGAGCUCAGGACGCUUCACCUGUUUCUCACCCCUCAGGCAGCACAUUCUCGGGUACAUGUCCUCGGGCACCUGGGCCCCACUGGGAGCCCUUUGAAGGGGAGCUGUGUCUUAGCUGUCUUGUAACCGCUGGAGCCACAGCAGUUCUUGGCCACGGUGGACAUUUGGUUAGUGGUUCCGGAACAGACGGGCAAGAAAUGAAUGCAAAAGUACCAGGUGCUUUGAUCAGAGGCUCAGUGAAGUUCACCGGACGCUCAGCCCACAUUCUCCACGUGCGUGUGCACUGGGCACGUGUGUGCAUGCACUCGUGGAUGCCGUGAGCUCUUGGAGUAAGAUUCCUGUUAACCCGGUAAAUGUGACGGAAGAGAGAUCUGGCAUUAUUGUAGAAUGGCACAACUUUCUGUCCUAAGUUCUCGGCUCCUGGGGACGUGUGGGAGGAGGGAGGCAGGCUGACCGUGGCUCACCACCCACCUUUUGGGUUCCACAGUCCUCUGCCGCCAAGAUUAAACCCGCAAACGUCAUCCUCGAAGCCGUGUAUGAAAGUCAAAGCCCUCAAGCCUGGUGAGUGGAUGCGCAAUGUAAACUGUGGGACAAAAUUCUAGAAGGGACUUCACCUGAGGUCCGUGAACUCACCCAUCUGGGAAUUAAAUCUGUCAGAUGGACCAUGACGGCCCCAAGUCAUAUGCUGCGUGCAGGUGACUGUGGGAGGCCAUGCUGCAGGUGCCACAGGUCUGGACAGGCCCGACCUCUCCUUGAAUGUGCCCCGUGGGGAUUCUGUUAGCCAGGCAUGCAGGGCACUGAAGGCAGGCGGAGGCAGAUUUUAGGAGACAGAGGCCACGACCGACAUAGAGUGGGCCCACCCCUUGGAAAAUGCCAGAGAAGCCUAUCCUGAACAAUGUAUUUUGCAGCAUCCCUGCCCAUCCCCCUCACUGCCAACCCGUGAUGAUGGCCGUCACCUGGCAGUUACAUAAGGUGACCUUCCCCUCAAGGGACACACCCCUCAAGUGUGUUAGAGGACAGAGGGUCCCAGCCCUGAGCACCAGAGCCGAGCUCUCUGGGAAAGGCAUCUGGUGGGUUUCCCAGGGAUCGAGCCAAAUAUUUGCUUUCAUGCCCCGGAAGUAACCCAGCAGGUGGAGUUUGGACACCGAAAUAUUGGCACCCGUGGGGCAUUCAGGUGAUUUUUGCAUGGGCGCAAUAGCACAGGAUGGUGAAAAUAUCAAACGCACGACCAACAGAAAACAUGGCCGUCAGUUUUGGCAACGUGCACAAGUUCAAGUAACCGGCAACCUCUGGUUCUACGGAAGAACGGGUGGACGACACCCACUGAAAGUCUGGAUCCAGAGGUGGUUCCACGGAGGCGAACACAUGGUUAAGCCCAACCCAGAGAACGGGGGGCACAGACGCGGGCCCUGCGCCUUCCCGCCCCGUGGAGACCGGCUUCAUGAUUGCACGUUGCUGGUGAGUGCCCCCUGUGUGGCCCCCUGCGUGAUGCGGCCUGGCUGCCAGCUGUUGACCGAAGCCUGGGAAGGAUAUCGGCACCUCCCUGCCCUCCCAGAGCUGCCGGGGACAGCGAGGCGAGCAGGCCAGGAUCGGGCACCUUCCCGUCGCUCUUGUCUGCGGCUCACAGGGCAGUGGGACUGACAGACUGCCCACUGACGGGCCCGGUGGGCAGGACGCCCCGGGAGGUGGCGGCCUGGCCCCUCGGUCCCGCGGGCUUCUGGUCUGCUUAGUGCCGGCCGUGCGGCUGUCUCCGCAGAGGCUCUCAGAGCCUGUGCCCACAUCCCUGCGGCCCCUCAGAGCCCUGAGGUCCCCGGCGAAGGCGUACGGCAGCCAGGCCUCCUGUGCCAUCAUGGGGGACAGUCCUACACUCUCUGCUCCUUGUGUCUGCCUUUCUGGGCGAGAUUUCUUUUGAAGAAAGGAAUCUGAAUCUGAGGCUAAAGAAAUGUCUGGAAACCCCUACUUUAGUUUUAGAUGGCUGCUGUAUACUUACUGGGCUAAAAUAAACGCUGUUUGCUCCA